AUGGCUCAGGAUGCUGUCGCUCUUAAUGGACUGAAUUACGAGAGUCAUAUGCAGUUUAGGAGGUCCGUCGUACCGAUUCUUAUAUAUCGUCGUCAACAGAAAGAGGAACAGGAACAUGAAGGAGAAGAGGAACAGGAACCAGAGCCGGAACCAGAACCGGAACAGGCAAAUCCAAAUGACCCAAUUUCUGUUGUUCCGGGCAUAGUCACUGUCGCUGGUGAGACAUUUUGCCACAUCAUAGCAAAUAAGAGAUUGCUUUUUACCCGUCGUCGAGGCAGGUAUAGAUUUGAAAUUGCUUUCCCCAACAUGAACUUAGACCUUGACAACCUCAAUGUGGAAAGACAUGGCUUGUUGGCUGCUUUCUACUGCCCUGUUCCUGCUGGAAUUGUAGAUGCCGUGCAUUUCAGCAAUCAAACUGCACAGAACCAAAAACUUAAGAUGUAUGGAUAUCAGAUUAGUGCAUCAGGACAAGUACAAAGGGAUCUAAUAAUGGCUAUCUGA
rnacentral:rRNA from 1 species